rnacentral:rRNA from 1 species
UAGGGAAUCUUCGGCAAUGGGCGAAAGCCUGACCGAGCAACGCCGCGUGAAUGAUGAAGGCCUUCGGGUUGUAAAAUUCUGUUAUAAGGGAAGAAUGGCUCUAGUAGGAAAUGGCUAGAGUGUGACGGUACCUUAUGAGAAAGCCACGGCUAACUACGUGCCAGCAGCCGCGGUAAUACGUAGGUGGCGAGCGUUAUCCGGAAUUAUUGGGCGUAAAGCGCGCGAAGGUGGUUGAUUAAGUCGGAUGUGAAAGCCCACGGCUUAACCGUGGAGGGUCAUUGGAAACUGGUCAACUAGAGUGCAGAAGAGGGAAGUGGAAUUCCAUGUGUAGCGGUGAAAUGCGUAGAGAUAUGGAGGAACACCAGUGGCGAAGGCGGCUUCCUGGUCUGUAACUGACACUGAGGCGCGAAAGCGUGGGGAGCAAACA